ACAAUGGGCGAAAGCCUGAUCCAGCAAUGCCGCGUGAGUGAAGAAGGCCUUCGGGUUGUAAACCUCUUUUGUCAGGGAAGAAACGGUGAGGGCUAAUAUAAUUUGCUAAUGACGGUACCUUAACAAUAAGCCCCGGCUAACUACGUGCCAGCAGCCGCGGUAAUAA
rnacentral:rRNA from 1 species